UGGACAUAAGACUCGGCUCUCCAAAUCUUACAGAACAAGUGCUGGGGUUCCCAGUCUCCUGGGCACCUGUGUCUUGGGAGUCUCUUGGGGCAUAUGCCUCCCAGGUGGAGAGGGGAAGCAGAAACCGGUCUGAAUGGGAGCAAGGGCUGAGAAGGAAUACCCAGGAAGCUCUUUGGCUCAAGGCUCAGGACCAUCUUGAUACCUCAUUAGCAUGGAGAACAACUCCAGGCCAGCAAGACUGUGUUAACAUCUCCUCACUUCCCAUCUCCAACGCAAGUUCCAGGACCGCCAGGGGCACAGAGAGACCCUGCCUCAAAAACCACACUGAAUGAAAUGGACUCAGUAAAGAAACGAAACCAAAAUAGCUG